rnacentral:lncRNA from 1 species
UUUAUUACUAAAAACCUAACGCCAUUAGAACAAUACUAUUACAUCUAUGGAUAUACCACUGCCAACCAAGCCAAAUAACUUCAAAUGUUAAACCAACAUAAUUGAAAAACACCACAAAGUUUAGAAGACCACUUAAACAACACCACAAUUGAAGUCAGUCCAAUGUCUCAAUUUAAGUAUAUAUAAUUAGAAAAACUAGCAAACUAAACAAACUAAACUACAUUAGACGCAAUAUCACGCAAUCAUCUGGAAUAGAGUUGUGGGAAAUUUCC